rnacentral:rRNA from 1 species
GCUUACGGCCAUACCACCCUGAGCACGCCCGAUCUCGUCUGAUCUCGGAAGCUCAGCAGGGUCCGGCCUGAUUAGUACUUGGAUGGGAGACCGCCUGGGAAUACCAGGUGCUGUAAGCU